rnacentral:tRNA from 1 species
GCCACCUUAGCUCAGUUGGUAGAGCAACGGUUUCGUAAACCGUAGGUCACCAGUUCAAAUCUGGUAGGUGGCU